rnacentral:rRNA from 1 species
UAGGGAAUCUUCCACAAUGGACGAAAGUCUGAUGGAGCAACGCCGCGUGAGUGAAGAAGGGUUUCGGCUCGUAAAGCACUGUUGUAUGGGAAGAACAGCUAGAAUAGGAAAUGAUUUUAGUUUGACGGUACCAUACCAGAAAGGGACGGCUAAAUAUGUGCCAA